CGAAAGCUAUUUAGGUAGCGCCUCGUGAAUUCAUCUCCGGGGGUAGAGCACUGUUUCGGCAAGGGGGUCAUCCCGACUUACCAACCCGAUGCAAACUGCGAAUACCGGAGAAUGUUAUCACGGGAGACACACGGCGGGUGCUAACGUCCGUCGUGAAGAGGGAAACAACCCAGACCGCCAGCUAAGGUCCCAAAGUCAUGGUUAAGUGGGAAACGAUGUGGGAAGGCCCAGACAGCCAGGAUGUUGGCUUAGAAGCAGCCAUCAUUUAAAGAAAGCGUAAUAGCUCACUGGUCGAGUCGGCCUGCGCGGAAGAUGUAACGGGGCUAAACCAUG
rnacentral:rRNA from 1 species